rnacentral:tRNA from 1 species
UGGUGAGGUGUCCGAGUGGCUGAAGGAGCACGCCUGGAAAGUGUGUAUACGCAACGUAUCGGGGGUUCGAAUCCCCCCCUCACCGCCAU